rnacentral:tRNA from 1 species
GACUUGAAAAUCCGUUGGUCUACGAGACCUUGAGGGUUCAAGUCCCUCUAUCCCCA